UGACGCCGUGGUACACGUUGG
rnacentral:misc_RNA from 1 species